rnacentral:rRNA from 1 species
GACGAACGCUGGAGGCGUGCUUAACACAUGCAAGUCGAACGAUGAAAUGGAGCUUGCUCCAUGGAUUAGUGGCGAACGGGUGAGUAACACGUGAAUAACCUGCCCUUAAUUUUGGAAUAACCCAGGGAAACCUGGGCUAAUACCGGAUAAGUAAACCUGUGGCAUCACAUGGUUUUGGAAAGUUUUUCGAUUAAGGAUGGAUUCGCGGCCUAUCAGCUUGUUGGUGAGGUAAUGGCUCACCAAGGCGACGACGGGCAGCCGGCCUGAGAGGGCGAACGGCCACACUGGGACUGAGACACGGCCCAGACGCCUACGGGAGGCAGCAGUGGGGAAUAUUGCGCAAUGGACGAAAGUCUGACGCAGCGACGCCUCGUGAGGGACGAAGGUCUUCGGAUUGUAAACCUCUUUCAGCAGGGACGAAGCGAAAGUGACGGUACCUGCAGAAGAAGCACCGGCUAACUAUGUGCCAGCCGCCGCAGUAA